rnacentral:rRNA from 1 species
AGAGUUUGAUCCUGGCUCAGAGCGAACGCUGGCGGCAUGCUUAACACAUGCAAGUCGCACGGGCAGGGGAAACCCUGUCAGUGGCGGACGGGUGAGUAACGCGUAGGAAUCUAUCUCUGGGUGGGGGACAACCGUGGGAAACUACGGCUAAUACCGCAUGAUGACCGAGGUCCAAAGGCGCAAGUCGCCCGGGGAGGAGCCUGCGUACGAUUAGCUUGUUGGUGGGGUAAAGGCCUACCAAGGCGACGAUCGUUAGCUGGUCUGAGAGGAUGAUCAGCCACAUUGGGACUGAGACACGGCCCAAACUCCUACGGGAGGCAGCAGUGGGGAAUAUUGGACAAUGGGCGAAAGCCUGAUCCAGCAAUGCCGCGUGUGUGAAGAAGGUCUUCGGAUUGUAAAGCACUUUCGACGGGGACGAUGAUGACGGUACCCGUAGAAGAAGCCCCGGCUAACUUCGUGCCAGCAGCCGCGGUAAUACGAAGGGGGCUAGCGUUGCUCGGAAUGACUGGGCGUAAAGGGCGCGUAGGCGGAUGGCACAGUCAGAUGUGAAAUUCCCGGGCUUAACCUGGGGGCUGCAUUUGAUACGUGCUGUCUAGAGUGA